AGGGCCAGAGCCAGGAUCCACCCCUUCCAGCCCUCAUUUAAUGGCUGGCAGAGGAGAUGUGGGCAUCCCUCUUUGGAGGUUCCUGCAUACCUGAGGUCUUUUGAAGGGAGCUGUGAUUACAGCAGAUGGAUGUGCAGGGCUGUGUGCUUUCCUCAGAUGCACUGAGGACCUUCAGCCAGGGAAGCACUGUGGUCAGCCAGAAGUUCUUGGGCAGACGGUGGGAGUUAAGUGCAUGAAAUCCAACACUCCAUGUCAUAUACCAGAGGUCAGGCCCAGGGUCCCUUCAGCUCCGAAGCACAAAUGCAGCAAAUCUUUCCCCCCAAGAAAGCCCUCCAAAGCCCAUUUCUGGAAAACACAGCAGAGGCAGAAUGUGUCUAUUGGGCUGACUUUGUUCUCCCAUCUCAAAGCACUGGGAGCUCGCAGCUGCUGUCAGUGCCUAUGGACACCAAGGGUUGGCUCAGCUGCAGGGCCCAGCAGUGGCAGCCUGGGGUGCUGGUCCUUGUCUGACCCCGCUGUGUUUCACAUGCUGUUCUUCUCCUCUGAGCUGAGCCAGCUCAUCCUGCUCAAAACUCCGACUGAAAACAUCAUCUAAAAACAGCUCCUCGUGCUGGUGCCCAGAGGGGAGGAGCAGAACCCAGCAGGCACAGAUGGAGCUUCAAUAAAUAGUGGAGCUGACGGGACGGGGCGGGGAAGGAUCUCACACCGCCAGCAGCAGCUCUGUUGGGAUGCAGGAUGUGCAGCUCCCAUGCACCCUGCACAGGGCUGUGGACAACUCACAGCUCCUCUGCAUCCAGGACUUGGAGCUGGCAAUGAAUGCUAGAAGAGUAUCAUGGUUUUCUUAUUACCAAUUUAAGUCAGCUUUCCUGUGGUUGAAAACCAUUCGUUGUUUUUUUCUUCUUUGGAGCUUUAUAUAUCAGCUAGAUACGGAAUUAAAAAAACACAAACAACACAGGACAUUUAAAUUGCCAUAUUUACACUUCUCUUUGGAGGAGCUCAACUGUUCUCUGCUCAGAUGCAAAUAAGGAACAUAUUUCUACUCUAGGUAUUUUUGGUCAGAAUGAAGAGAUAAAUAGUGCACUCCAAACGUCACGCUUCCAACCCGCUCCAGCUAACUUUGGUCAAGAAAACUUUGCACAGAACACCAGCACGUUUUGAGCAUGAACUGUAAUUCUUUUCUCCUGGCAGGAAUUUAUUGCUAAUUGAGCCGAUCUGCAGCAUGGGAACCAACAAAUGAGGGCCAAAACCAAGGCUGCCAGACUUAAAUCACUUACUGGUUAUGAAAUGGGACAGAACAGCCCCAGAGUCACACAGAAACAUGAGCAUGGUGGUGACACGGCCUUUCAUGCACAGCGUCAGCACUAAAAACAGCAUAUAGAUGGUUUGGGAAGUUAUAAACACCGACAUCAUGAUUCUAUUCUGGGUUGGUCCUAUGACAAAAGGGGAAAAAAUAACCAAAUGAAAACAGCAACAACCAAAAUCCAAUGGAAGAUAAGAGCCCAAAGCAAUGGGCAGCACUGCUCGGGGCCCACUGUGCUGGCUGUGGGAUGGGAGCUGGCAGCACUGACUGACACCAGCACAGCUGCAGCCCCACAGCUCCAGCAGCACAGUGCUUCAGAGCUCCCCUUCUUCUUCCUCUUCUUAAUUAUCAUGAUUUUUUAAGCUAAACAGCCAUUGUCAGGUUACUCAGGCCUUGUCCCCAUCUAGCAUCCCAUGAUAUCCGAAGUUUGGAUGGAUAUUCAGAAUGGCUCUUCUUCAUCUUCAGCGUGUCAGACUUUCUCAGUUGAUCUCAAGUCUACCUCCAGACAUCUCCCAAGUACGGUGUGGGGCUGAUCUGCCCCAGAUAGCCCUGCAGGAUGGGAGCCGUGGGGCAGGAGUGCAGCCUCCAUCCGCUAAUCCAUUGAUUAUUAAGCAGCAUUGAUCUGCAAAUGUCUCAAAGGACUGAAAGGCCUUGGAGAGAUGAGUGGCAAAUUGUUUAGAAGCCAAAAAAUUUCCAUGAGAUAAUUUUCAGUGGAAAGUGAUGGAGAAAAGCCCACUGUAUCUUAAGUGCAAUAUAAAUUCUUAUCAGAGAGCGUUUUGAUGUAGUUUUAACCUCUGAAUUAAGAGCCACAAUUCAAAAGACAUCUGCUAACUGAUGAUUCUGCAAAACCAGAAGUGCAUCGCAUGCAUUCAAAUGAGCUCAAAAAAAGCACAGGCACAUCUGGUUUCAUGAAUCAGAUCAGAACAAAAACUGUUCUCUGUUGCUGUUGGUUUUGCCAGCAGUGGAGAUGAAGGUGAGUGAAAGGCAGAGCAGAUCAGAUCUCUGAGGGUCAGGGCAUGCAGACAUUCCCUGUGUGGAGUUGGCUCACCCCCAGCAUCACCUGUCUGCAUCAGAACAGGGAACUACUCCUGUCUUUUCCACACAAGAAGAAAAUAUCAGCUUCAGCCCUGAGUCCCGAGAUGCUCCUUUGGCCCUGGGUAUGUUGAGCACAUGGGUCACACAAAAGCUGGAGCUGAGGGAGCCCUAGCUGUGUAAGUAAGGGGGAUUUCUGCCAAGAAAGCAGGAGAGGUUUUUCUGUAGCUGGCCCCUGGAGAAUGCUCUCUUUGACAGAAAAAAAGUAAAUGUAAAAAAAUCCAUCCCUUGCAAGCUUGUGAAAGCAUGGCUGUGGGCCAUGGGCGUUCUAAUGGGCUUUCUAACUCCCUGGCAUAUGUCCCCCACCUUAAUGCAAACAGGAGAAGCCUAUUGCAAGAAGUCCUCGUCCUCUCUCCUUUUUUUUAAACUUAUUUUUUUGCUGUUCUUCUAAAGCAACAUCAUCACAUUGCUCAAGCAGCAGCCGUGCAAACUGCAGCGCUGAUCCCUGAAAUGCUGCAGUUCUGACUUCCCCAGCAGUUCUGCACAGUUUGCCCCCCUUUCCAUGGCAGCAGAGAUGCUGCCCAGCCCUGCAGCGCACCGCUGUGCUGUGAGCACAGUGACAAACCUCCUGUUGUGAGCUGCACAGGAGACAUCUUCCCGCUCAGAAAAUCACAUUUCCCUCUCACAGGGCCAUUCCACCAUCUGACCAAACACCUCACUAAAUUCCAGACACCAAGACUGAACUCCGGACCGGCCCUUGGCAGGAGAAUUAUCCACAACCCUGUCUACCAUGGUCCCGUUUUCUCUUACAGAAUUUGUCAAGAAUUCCUGCCAGCUUGAGAGCAGCCGCUUGGGUUCCAGUAUCACUGCUGUCUGCAGCCCUUCCACAGCCAGGCUGGCUCUGCUCCAGCACCUGGAAUGGGCUUCCGGAGCCAUCUCCUCUCUUAUCACUCAUUGCACCGAUAGUCAGCCUGAAACAAGCUCGACCUUCUGAUUGAUUUGAACUUUGGCCAACAGGAAAACACUUGUUGUAGCAGCACAGUCAGGCACCCAGCUGUCUGCUUUGUGUAACGGGGCAGCGGGGUUAAAUUAAGGCCCGUUCCCCACCAUGAGCACAGGGGAAGAAUGGAAACUCACCAGAUGUUGGCAUCAGGCUGAGCAAGAUGCGAGUGCAGGUGGGGCUGUCAGCUCCUGCCACGUGCUUACACUGGAGAAUGCAUUUCAGAGAAAAAGAAACUUCCCAAAUCAUUGAGAAAAAGCCCUUGUUUGUCACCUUCCUGCUCUCUCUGCUGUCCCCACAUGCCCUUCUAAAGCCAUCCCUGUGCUGAGGACACGUCCUGAGAAGGGUCACUGCUGAUCCUGCACACUUCGUCACCAACAAUGACCAACAAACCCUUGGAACUAAUAUUUCCAUGGCAUUGAAAAUAGAAUUGGAAAGGAAAAGAUUUAGUUGAGCAUGUUUGUUUGUUUCAUCAAGCUGCCACAGGCCAGAGUCUGUAACUUCAUGCCAUAUUUCAAACUUGGAAACGAGAAAGGACACCAAAACAACUGAAAAUGGAUAACAAACAGUAAGUGGAAAGCAAUGCAAAAACCAGACACACAGGAACAACCACACUGGAGUGGAUCCAGAUCUCCCCCACGUUAUAAAGCUAUUUUAUAUUAAUGUGAAGGGGAAUUUAUGAGUUUGAGUUUGUUCUCUACCAUCUCCACAGGAUUCAAUCUAGAUAGACCUAAGUACUGAGAAACAGUUUUUCAUCAGUGGUUCCCACCUUGUGAAGCCACACAGCCACUGCUCUCCUGCUGGCCCCAUGCUGCUGCUGUGCAGAGCAGUGGCUGUCACAGCAGAUCUCGCCCUGCUCGGAUGUGGCCACAGGUCGGUGAGGACGUGCACUCCCUCCUGGGGGUCUGCAGAUCCAUUCCUAGGCACCGCCAGCCCCGAGGGGCUCCGGGAGGAAAGCAGCCCGGUACCGCUCUGCUGCUCCCUGCGGGCUGAUUGCAGAACUGCUGUCGCCCUGCAGGACCACUGUAAUGGUUGAGCGGGUGCCAGAAGCCUUGCUCAUCCUGGGUAACUCUCGCUGUCGCUUUAGAAGGGAUCCACAGAGCCGCAGCGGUCUGCAGCAUCCAUACGACACCUCUUCUUUCUUACCAACACCAAUAAAGAAAUGGUGCUGCAUGCCCAACACGUGUGGUGCCUUCGAGGCAGUGCAGCCACUACUUCAAUCUGGUGGCUGGAAUGCAGCAGCAAUGCCUUCAGCAGAGAUGUGCCUCUGCCUUCAGGGCUGUGCUGCAGCACGCAGCUCUGCACGAGGAGCCCUGAAGCACUGUCAGGAGGAGCACAGUGUUCAGCACUGACUCUUUGGGUGCAGAGGAAGGAAGGUUGGAGAGCAAGAAUUCUGCUCUUCAGGGCUCAUCAAACAGCCACACAUGGAAAUCCCACCUGCUGGGCCCCAAACACCUGGCAGCAGGGAGAGAAAA